UACGGAGGGUGCAAACGUUGUCCGGAAUUACUGGGCGUAAAGCGUGCGCAGGCGGUUAUAUAAGACAGUUGUGAAAUCCCCGGGCUCAACCUGGGAACUGCAUCUGUGACUGUAUAGCUAGAGUACGGUAGAGGGGGAUGGAAUUCCGCGUGUAGCAGUGAAAUGCGUAGAUAUGCGGAGGAACACCGAUGGCGAAGGCAAUCCCCUGGACCUGUACUGACGCUCAUGCACGAAAGCGUGGGGAGCAAACAGG
rnacentral:rRNA from 1 species